AUACGGAGGAUCCGAGCGUUAUCCGGAUUUAUUGGGUUUAAAGGGUGCGCAGGCGGGAGAUUAAUUUGGCGGUGAAAUUUUGCAGCUCAACUGUAAAAGUGCCUUCGAAACUGGUUUCCUUGAGUGUAGAUGAAGUAGGCGGAAUUUGUGGUGUAGCGGUGAAAUGCAUAGAUAUCACGAGGAACUCCGAUUGCGCAGGCAGCUUACUAAACUACUACUGACGCUCAGGCACGAAGGCGUGGGGAUCAAACAGGAUUAGAUACCCUGGUAGUCCACGCAGUAAACGAUGAUUACUAGCUGUUUGCGAUACAAUGUAAGCGGCUGAGCGAAAGCGUUAAGUAAUCCACCUGGGGAGUACGUUCGCAAGAAUGAAACUCAAAUGAAUUGACGGGG
rnacentral:rRNA from 1 species